UACGGAGGGUGCAAGCGUUGUCCGGAUUUAUUGGGUUUAAAGGGUGCGUAGGCGGCCAUUUAAGUCUGGGGUGAAAGCCCGUUGCUCAACAACGGAACUGCCCUGGAAACUGGAUGGCUUGAGUACAGACGAGGGUGGCGGAAUGGAUGCUGUAGCGGUGAAAUGCAUAGAUAGCAUCCAGAACCCCGAUUGCGAAGCAGCUGCCUAGACUGUAACUGACGCUGAGGCACGAAAGCGUGGGGAGCGAACAGG
rnacentral:rRNA from 1 species